rnacentral:rRNA from 1 species
AUGGCCGGCGGAGUUGACCGCCUGUCCGACCUCCCAGACGAGCUCCUCCUGCGCGUCCUCCACUUCGUCCCAGGCAAGCAGGCCGCCGCCACGAUGGCGCUCGCCGCUCUGGCGGUCCUCAGGCGCCGUAAACCUGGAGACGGACGUCGAGGACUGUGGCUGGGACGACGACCUCUCCUCCUCCCGGCGCGGCGCCUUUGUGGCCGCGGCCGAGGCGGCGGUCGACGCCGCAGACGUCCCCGUCACGAGGCUCACCCUUCGUGUCACCGGCAAGUCUAUCGACGCAUUCCUGAUUCCUGA